CCUACGGGAGGCUGCAGUCGAGAAUCAUUCACAAUGGGGGAAACCCUGAUGGUGCGACGCCGCGUGGGGGAAUGAAGGUCUUCGGAUUGUAAACCCCUGUCAUGUGGGAGCAAAUUAAAAAGAUAGUACCACAAGAGGAAGAGACGGCUAACUCUGUGCCAGCAGCCGCGGUAAUACAGAGGUCUCACGCGUUGUUCGGAAUCACUGGGCGUAAAGCGUGCGUAGGCUGUUUCGUAAGUCGUGUGUGAAAGGCGCGGGCUCAACCCGCGGACGGCACAUGAUACUGCGAGACUAGAGUAAGGGAGGGGGAACCGGAAUUCUCGGUGUAGCAGUGAAAUGCGUAGAUAUCGAGAGGAACACUCGUGGCGAAGGCGGGUUCCUGGACAUUAACUGACGCUGAGGCACGAAGGCCAGGGGAGCGAAAGGGAUUAGAUACCCGUGUAGUC
rnacentral:rRNA from 1 species